GAUGAACGCUAGCGGCAGGCUUAACACAUGCAAGUCGAGGGGUAACAGGGAGUGCUUGCACUCCGCUGACGACCGGCGCACGGGUGCGUAACGCGUAUGCAACCUACCUUCUACAGGGGGAUAGCCCAGAGAAAUUUGGAAUAAUACCCCAUACGAUCAUUAAUCGGCAUCGAUUGAUGAAGAAAACUCCGGUGGUAGAAGAUGGGCAUGCGUCCUAUUAGUUAGUUGGUGAGGUAACGGCUCACCAAGACGUCGAUAGGUAGGGGUCCUGAGAGGGAGAUCCCCCACACUGGUACUGAGACACGGACCAGACUCCUACGGGAGGCAGCAGUGAGGAAUAUUGGACAAUGGAGGCAACUCUGAUCCAGCCAUGCCGCGUGCAGGAAGACGGCCCUAUGGGUUGUAAACUGCUUUUAUACAGGAAGAAUUGUACCUACGUGUAGGUAUUUGACGGUACUGUACGAAUAAGGAUCGGCUAACUCCGUGCCAGCAGCCGCGGUAAUACGGAGGAUCCAAGCGUUAUCCGGAAUCAUUGGGUUUAAAGGGUCCGUAGGCGGUCUGAUAAGUCAGAGGUGAAAUCCUGCAGCUCAACUGUAGCAUUGCCUUUGAUACUGUUAGACUUGAGUUAUUGUGAAGUAGUUAGAAUGUGUAGUGUAGCGGUGAAAUGCAUAGAUAUUACACAGAAUACCGAUUGCGAAAGCAGAUUACUAACAAUAUACUGACGCUCAGGGACGAAAGCGUGGGUAGCGAACAGGAUUAGAUACCCUGGUAGUCCACGCCGUAAACGAUGGAUACUAGCUGUUCGACCAACAUUGGUUGGUUGAGUGGCUAAGCGAAAGUGAUAAGUAUCCCACCUGGGGAGUACGCUCGCAAGAGUGAAACUCAAAGGAAUUGACGGGGGCCCGCACAAGCGGUGGAGCAUGUGGUUUAAUUCGAUGAUACGCGAGGAACCUUACCAGGGCUUAAAUGUAAGUUGCAUAGACCAGAGAUGGUCUUUUCUUCGGACUACUUACAAGGUGCUGCAUGGUUGUCGUCAGCUCGUGCCGUGAGGUGUCAGGUUAAGUCCUAUAACGAGCGCAACCCCUGUCGUUAGUUGCCAUCAAGUAAAGUUGGGUACUCUAGCGAGACUGCCGGUGCAAACCGUGAGGAAGGUGGGGAUGACGUCAAAUCAUCACGGCCCUUACGUCCUGGGCUACACACGUGCUACAAUGGCCGGUACAGAGAGCAGCCACUACGCGAGUAGGAGCGAAUCUAUAAAACCGGUCUCAGUUCGGAUCGCAGUCUGCAACUCGACUGCGUGAAGCUGGAAUCGCUAGUAAUCGGAUAUCAGCCAUGAUCCGGUGAAUACGUUCCCGGGCCUUGUACACACCGCCCGUCAAACCAUGGAAGCUGGGGGUGCCUGAAGUCUGUGACCGCAAGGAGCAGCCUAGGGUAAAACUAGUGACUGGGGUUAAGUCGUAACAAGGUAGCCGUACCGGAAGGUGCGGCUGGAACACCUCCUUUCUAGAGGAUUUAUUGGGUUUAGGCCUAGUAGAUCAGAAAGCAACGACUAAAACAAACAAGGGAAAAGUAGUUCCUAUUCACGAGCUGUCAUUUUUUUUAUAACAACUAAUAUAACACCAAGCAAGAUAAAGUAGAGUCUCGUAGCUCAGCUGGUUAGAGCGCUACACUGAUAAUGUAGAGGUCGGCAGUUCGAGUCUGCCCGAGACUACUUUUUUAAAUAGAGCGUUAACCACUAUAAGGUUGUGUGGUGUUAUAAAGAGUAAAGGAAAUUCUAGAGGUUGGGAUUCCGCUGAUAGGGGGUCAGACCAAUAGGAAAGACUUUAUAAUAAAAGGGGGAUUAGCUCAGCUGGCUAGAGCGCUUGAUUUGCAUUCAAGAGGUCAUCGGUUCGACUCCGAUAUUCUCCACAGAUAAAUACUUUAAAGCAUAAUGUUUGAAGUUCAAAAAACAACAAGCUUGCUUGCUUGUUUUUGAAGCCAAGGCCAUUUUGAAAAGUAUUUUCAAGAUGAGAGUUUGAGCAGGGUUGCGCAGCAACACUUAGCAAAUAAUCAUCGUAAACGUUCAUUGACAUAUUGAAAAGAUACAAAAAGUAUCAACCAAUUUUUUUUUACAAUAAAAAAGAGAGGUUUAUACGAGCAAAUAAUAAUAAGUAGUAAAUUUUUUUAGAUACAAUUUUUUAGAGAAAGAGUAAAAAAGUUACGAUAGGCUAAUUAAGGGCGUAUGGGGAAUGCCUAGGCUCUCAGAGGCGAAGAAGGACGUGAUAAGCUGCGAAAAGCUGCGGGGAUCAGCACAUAUGAAAUGAUCCGCAGAUAU
rnacentral:rRNA from 1 species